UGUUGACGAUAUUUAAAGUUUUAUCACAGUUCCACCGAACGACCACCCAAAGAAUGUCAUGGUUGAAUGCCACUACACCGCGAUGAGCAUCUCCUGUAGUCUGCCUCAAUGACCUUGUGCCUUUGUCAUUUGAAAUGCUAUAUAAUCUGUCAAGCGGAAUUCUGUUUCGAACCCGCAACAGAUUUGGUGACGAUGAGAAGUUACUGCAAUUGAACACGGCAUCGAUCCUAAUGAAAUCUCUCACGGUGAUGAUGAUCUUGUAUCAUUUUUGUCGACUGUGAACCUUGCACAAUAAAGUCUAUUGCUUCGAGUUCGAUAACUCAAAUCUUCAGGACGUGAUAAUUUCAUGUUUAACUAAAAUGAAGCUUGUAAAAAUUUAUAUCGUUGAUGUAUUUAUGGACGUUGGGAGUAAAGAAACUGAAAAUUGUGAUUGCCAUCAUGGCAUCUCGCUGCCUCAUUCUCUCUUUUGGGAUGACGUGUAGGUCUUUAAUACUUAGCGAUAUUUGCGAAGAAUAUCCUUCCAAAACGAACUCCCUCUUCCUAAGCUGUUCAUCAAUGUAAAUCGUGACUUUCCGUCUUUACUCCUGUCAUCUUGUCGUUCUUGCAAUAAAUGCCAUUACUAUGUGAUCGAUUUAAUUUAUUGACUCUAUUUAAAAGAGGAAUAUUGAUUUAUAAAAUUGGCACAAGGCCACCUUCAAUUAUAUUAACCGCUGUACCUUACGGGUACCUUAUCAACUCCCGCUUACUUGAAGAGGAACGUAACGAGAUGCCGCAGCAUAUUACAGGAACAUGAGAGAAAAUCGAUGUAAUUAAUUUGAUAGGUGUAAUUAAUCUUGCUAGUGGAGAAAGACGGUGUAUUUUAGAUGUUUGGAUCAUUUUAAUUACUUGUACAACCUGUGAAUGAGUGAUAUCAUAUUUGUGAACUAUAUUCAAAUUUAUCUUGUAACAAGCGUCAUAUACUGUAUUACGUUAUAUAAAUAUAGACAAAGCCAACCCUACUACUCACAUUAUAUAGCACUAAACAAAUGGUAUGAGAUAUGCAACUUAUUACUUUGUCGUAUUUGUAAUCAUCGCAAGAUGUGUUUGAUGAAACGAAUGAAAAUUAUGUGAAAUAGAAGAAUCUAAAAAGGAGGACAUUUGCAAUAAUUUUUCUAAAGGAUGAUAUGACGUUUGACAAUGAAGAAAUAAGGGGGGGGGUUGUACUUUUCUGACUUUUGCUUCACUUCAUUUCGGCACAAAAUAUUACUUAUUUUGAAGACUUCCAUAUUGAAUGAAUAAUUUAAAAGAUGCUUCCAUACUUCAGGUCUUUCCAAUUUAAUUACACCACUUUACUUCAUUAACUCUGGCACAUAAAAUUAAUUACGCUGCUUUCUUCUCAUUUUACUUAUAUUUCAUACGACCCACGGCCCACGUAAAGAGAAAUAUUACUAGGAUAAUUUCAUUAUGUAACGUGGCGAGCUGGCAAAAUAGGUACCCUGCCCGAAAAAAAUGUUGAGCGACUAUUUUUCCAGCUUUACGUCCUGAAUUCAAAUGCCGCCGCAGUCGACUUUACCAUUCAACCUUUUAGGUUCGAUAAAACAAAUACCUGUUGAACACUGGGGUCAAUGUAGUUGCCUUAAUUCUUUCUCCGAAAUUGCUGACCUCUUGCCAAAAUUUCAAAUCCAUAUUUUCGUAGCACGAAUGGAUCAGUGAAGGUUUUGUUGCAUAAAGUACAAACAUUAUCUGCCAUAGUACUCAAUACACUGGAUUGAGUCGUAAGCAGCCCAGCUUGGAGCGAAACUUAAAAUCAACUGUUAUCUCACGAAAUACAUAAAAUAUGAAUAUAACAGAUCCUCCAUAGCAAGUAAAUUGUUAAUAUACGAAAUGAUGAAAACAAACGCAGUCUUUGUUUCCAUAAAUGUUGUAUGAACACAUGUACGCAAAGUUCGGAUGGAAUCGGAAGAAGCCUCUGGCAGGAAUAGUUCAGCUGUGUCAAAGAAAGAAAAACAUUCGAAACGUUGGGACGCUAUAAUGAAACUGCAGUAUAUUAAAGGUACUCAAACCGUUAUCUAUAAUGAUCCCGCGAAAUUAAUCCUUGCUACUAUAGGUACAAGGCCUGAAAUUCUGGGGGAGGUGACUAGUCGAUUACAUUGACCCCAGUGUUUCACUUGUACUUGAUUUAUCGAUCCCGAAAAGAUGAAAGGCAAAGUUGGC